AGACCCGAAACCCGGUGAUCUAGCCAUGGGCAGGUUGAAGGUUGGGUAACACUAACUGGAGGACCGAACCGACUAAUGUUGAAAAAUUAGCGGAUGACCUGUGGCUGGGGGUGAAAGGCCAAUCAAACCGGGAGAUAGCUGGUUCUCCCCGAAAGCUAUUUAGGUAGCGCCUCGUGAAUUCAUCUCCGGGGGUAGAGCACUGUUUCGGCUAGGGGGCCAUCCCGGCUUACCAACCCGAUGCAAACUGCGAAUACCGGAGAAUGUUAUCACGGGAGACACACGGCGGGUGCUAACGUCCGUCGUGAAGAGGGAAACAACCCAGACCGCCAGCUAAGGUCCCAAAGUCAUGGUUAAGUGGGAAACGAUGUGGGAAGGCCCAGACAGCCAGGAUGUUGGCUUAGAAGCAGCCAUCAUUUAAAGAAAGCGUAAUAGCUCACUGGUCGAGUCGGCCUGCGCGGAAGAUGUAACGGGGCUAAACCAUGCACCGAAGCUGCGGCAGCGACACUAUGUGUUGUUGGGUAGGGGAGCGUUCUGUAAGCCUGCGAAGGUGGCCUGUGAGGGUUGCUGGAGGUAUCAGAAGUGCGAAUGCUGACAUAAGUAACGAUAAAGCGGGUGAAAAGCCCGCUCGCCGGAAGACCAAGGGUUCCUGUCCAACGUUAAUCGGGGCAGGGUGAGUCGACCCCUAAGGCGAGGCCGAAAGGCGUAGUCGAUGGGAAACGGGUUAAUAUUCCCGUACUUGGUGUUACUGCGAAGGGGGGACGGAGAAGGCUAUGUUGGCCGGGCGACGGUUGUCCCGGUUUAAGCGUGUAGGUGUGUGUUCCAGGUAAAUCCGGUUCACUUUAACACUGAGGCGUGACGACGAGGCACUACGGUGCUGAAGCAACAAAUGCCCUGCUUCCAGGAAAAGCCUCUAAGCAUCAGGUAACAUCAAAUCGUACCCCAAACCGACACAGGUGGUCAGGUAGAGAAUACCAAGGCGCUUGAGAGAACUCGGGUGAAGGAACUAGGCAAAAUGGUGCCGUAACUUCGGGAGAAGGCACGCUGACACGUAGGUGAAGUGAUUUACUCACGGAGCUGAAGUCAGUCGAAGAUACCAGCUGGCUGCAACUGUUUAUUAAAAACACAGCACUGUGCAAACACGAAAGUGGACGUAUACGGUGUGACGCCUGCCCGGUGCCGGAAGGUUAAUUGAUGGGGUCAGCGCAAGCGAAGCUCCUGAUCGAAGCCCCGGUAAACGGCGGCCGUAACUAUAACGGUCCUAAGGUAGCGAAAUUCCUUGUCGGGUAAGUUCCGACCUGCACGAAUGGCGUAAUGAUGGCCAGGCUGUCUCCACCCGAGACUCAGUGAAAUUGAACUCGCUGUGAAGAUGCAGUGUACCCGCGGCAAGACGGAAAGACCCCGUGAACCUUUACUAUAGCUUGACACUGAACAUUGAGCCUUGAUGUGUAGGAUAGGUGGGAGGCUUUGAAGCGUGGACGCCAGUCUGCGUGGAGCCGACCUUGAAAUACCACCCUUUAAUGUUUGAUGUUCUAACGUGGACCCGUGAUCCGGGUUGCGGACAGUGUCUGGUGGGUAGUUUGACUGGGGCGGUCUCCUCCUAAAGAGUAACGGAGGAGCACGAAGGUUGGCUAAUCCUGGUCGGACAUCAGGAGGUUAGUGCAAUGGCAUAAGCCAGCUUGACUGCGAGCGUGACGGCGCGAGCAGGUGCGAAAGCA
rnacentral:rRNA from 1 species